UUGCUCCCCCCCCUCCCCAUUGUCCCCACAGGCCCAGAUGUGGCAGGGGGCCAGCCCAGCCCCAUGGCAGAGGGCACCCCAGGACCCCAGAGCCUCCCCACCAGGCGGGGGCCUGGGCGGCCGCCCACCUUCGCUGGGCUCUUCAGCACUGUGGGACCCCGUCUGCAGGACUGGGUGGAGGUGCUGAGGGCCAUGGCGGGGGGGAGCCACCCCAACUUGGCCAGGGAGCAGCUCCCCGGGGAGACGUGGCUCUUCCUGCAGCAGGGCGAGGAGGCGGUGGAGGAGCUGGUGGGCCAGGGCAGAGCCUUCCUCACCCAGCUGCAGGCAGAGUUGGGCCUCAGCACCCCCCUUGAAGCCACGGAGCCGCGACAAGCACCUGGAGACCCAGCAGGGACCCCAGUGCUGAACCUUGAGCCCCAGGAGGCAGGGUCCACAGCGGGUGGUCACCUGAGGGAGAAACGCGACCUGGUACCCACAUUGCCCGGGGUGGAGGAGGAGGAGGCAGGCGAGGGCCAAGGUAAGCGCCCUGGCCACUGUGGGAACGGGUGCCAGUGUACCCAGAGGGACCCGCACCAGGUCACCUGCUGCCCCCAGCCAUGGUGGCAAGCCUGGCUUCUGCUUUCCACCCUGGUGCCGGGGCUACUUAUGCUGUGGGUCAUGACAGCUAUCUCAUGUCCCUGGAGAUCCUCUCCCCCAUUCCCUUGGCUUCUCAAGGUGGCCAGGGAAGAGCCCAGGCAUU
rnacentral:lncRNA from 1 species